rnacentral:lncRNA from 1 species
GCAGCCAAGCAGAUGGGGCUGUACCUGUGAGAGUGUGUCACCCGUGGGUGGAGUGUGCAGUGAUCAGAUGUUGAGUUUGGAAGCUCUUUUCCUCUUGGUAUUGAAUAGAGUCCCACUGUCUGGAUGCACCCCGCUGACCCACCCACUCACCGACUGCAGGGCGUCCCGGUUGCUGCCAGGUGAAAUAGGGGCGGGGACAAUCCAGGGACAUCUUUCCCAGCAUGCAUGAACCAGAAAUAACACCAGCGUGUCUGAGAAGAAACGGUGAAGAAAUCCACCCUGG